GGAGCAGCCCAGAGCCUGAAUCAGUGUGUGUGUUAGUGGAAGCGUCUGGAAAGGCGCGUGAUACAGGGUGACAGCCCCGUACACAAAAAUGCACAUGCUGUGAGCUCGAUGAGUAGGGCGGGACACGUGGUAUCCUGUCUGAAUAUGGGGGGACCAUCCUCCAAGGCUAAAUACUCCUGACUGACCGAUAGUGAACCAGUACCGUGAGGGAAAGGCGAAAAGAACCCCGGCGAGGGGAGUGAAAAAGAACCUGAAACCGUGUACGUACAAGCAGUGGGAGCACGCUUAGGCGUGUGACUGCGUACCUUUUGUAUAAUGGGUCAGCGACUUAUAUUCUGUAGCAAGGUUAACCGAAUAGGGGAGCCGAAGGGAAACCGAGUCUUAACUGGGCGUUAAGUUGCAGGGUAUAGACCCGAAACCCGGUGAUCUAGCCAUGGGCAGGUUGAAGGUUGGGUAACACUAACUGGAGGACCGAACCGACUAAUGUUGAAAAAUUAGCGGAUGACUUGUGGCUGGGGGUGAAAGGCCAAUCAAACCGGGAGAUAGCUGGUUCUCCCCGAAAGCUAUUUAGGUAGCGCCUCGUGAAUUCAUCUCCGGGGGUAGAGCACUGUUUCGGCAAGGGGGUCAUCCCGACUUACCAACCCGAUGCAAACUGCGAAUACCGGAGAAUGUUAUCACGGGAGACACACGGCGGGUGCUAACGUCCGUCGUGAAGAGGGAAACAACCCAGACCGCCAGCUAAGGUCCCAAAGUCAUGGUUAAGUGGGAAACGAUGUGGGAAGGCCCAGACAGCCAGGAUGUUGGCUUAGAAGCAGCCAUCAUUUAAAGAAAGCGUAAUAGCUCACUGGUCGAGUCGGCCUGCGCGGAAGAUGUAACGGGGCUAAACCAUGCACCGAAGCUGCGGCAGCGACGCUUAUGCGUUGUUGGGUAGGGGAGCGUUCUGUAAGCCUGUGAAGGUGUACUGUGAGGUAUGCUGGAGGUAUCAGAAGUGCGAAUGCUGACAUAAGUAACGAUAAAGCGGGUGAAAAGCCCGCUCGCCGGAAGACCAAGGGUUCCUGUCCAACGUUAAUCGGGGCAGGGUGAGUCGACCCCUAAGGCGAGGCCGAAAGGCGUAGUCGAUGGGAAACAGGUUAAUAUUCCUGUACUUGGUGUUACUGCGAAGGGGGGACGGAGAAGGCUAUGUUGGCCGGGCGACGGUUGUCCCGGUUUAAGCGUGUAGGCUGGUUUUCCAGGCAAAUCCGGAAAAUCAAGGCUGAGGCGUGAUGACGAGGCACUACGGUGCUGAAGCAACAAAUGCCCUGCUUCCAGGAAAAGCCUCUAAGCAUCAGGUAACAUCAAAUCGUACCCCAAACCGACACAGGUGGUCAGGUAGAGAAUACCAAGGCGCUUGAGAGAACUCGGGUGAAGGAACUAGGCAAAAUGGUGCCGUAACUUCGGGAGAAGGCACGCUGAUAUGUAGGUGAAGUCCCUCGCGGAUGGAGCUGAAAUCAGUCGAAGAUACCAGCUGGCUGCAACUGUUUAUUAAAAACACAGCACUGUGCAAACACGAAAGUGGACGUAUACGGUGUGACGCCUGCCCGGUGC
rnacentral:rRNA from 1 species